GGCUCUGUAGUUUAGUUGAAAAAGCACUCAUCUAGCAUACAAGAGACGUGGGUUUGAAUCCCACCUGAUCA
rnacentral:tRNA from 1 species